UCGGCAACGGAUAUCUCGGCUCUCGCAUCGAUGAAGAACGUAGCGAAAUGCGAUACUUGGUGUGAAUUGCAGAAUCCCGUGAACCAUCGAGUCUUUGAACGCAAGUUGCGCCCGAAGCCUCUAGGCCGAGGGCACGCCUGCCUGGGCGUCACGCGCCGUUGCCCCC
rnacentral:rRNA from 3 species